AUCAGUAUAUUAUAGGUCCUGAUUUCAUUGUUUAAAGUCAUAAUGCAGUCAUGCUUGAGGUGGAUGUGUAUAAAAUUCUGUAACGACUGUAUGUUGCUGCCUACAUGUGCUUGAGUUGUUCAUGUUAUCCUAAAUGGAUAUUUCUAGAAGAUUAAUUUAGCCAAUAGGAUGCCUGGUCAUGCUUGAUAUGCUCUGUAUCAUGAUUCAUAUUUAAGUGUUUUCUCAUUCGUUGGUACAUAGAUAUACUAAAAAGCUUUUAGCUUUGUGAGUGUCAAAUAGUCUAUGAUUGCUUGUACCUUUCCAUUUGCAUUUGAUAAAGUUUCUAUAUCUAUAUGUUACUCAUGUGUCAUGCUAGAUAGAAUCACUUCUCUUUUGGAUAAUUGUCAUUAGCAUGCCUCUUUCUUCUGGAUAAUUCAUAAUGGCCACCGGCGAGCUGCAUAUUGUUCAUAUUCCUUAGCGGCAUCAUGGUACUAACUGCCAUUUUUUAACUUUCUUUUGGAUAAUUCAUAAUGUCCACCGGCGACCUGCAUAUCGUUUAUAUUCCUUAGCGGCUUAUAGUACUAACUGCCAAUUUUUUGUAAAAUAAUUUUCUUUAUAUGCUUAUUGUUAUUGUUUCAUCUCACAAUUUUCUUCUCAAUUGAUCUGCAUAUUGUAGGCUAUUUCCUCUGCCAGAAUGAAAGGAGAAUAUGCUGAGAGAUAGCCUUCACGCAUGAUGAGAGUCUCAUUGCUUUACCGACAAGAAGCAAUGGAAGGCGAUGCCACUGCAGUUUAUGCGCUCAGGUUUCUCCGCUUCUGUUUGGCCUCUGUCAGUUGUAUUUUGAGCAUUGGCAUCUCUAGCGGAGCUGCACAAGCAGAAAGCUGAGCAGGAGCAACUCGGGGAUUAAGAAAAGGUCUAAAAUGUUGAAUCUCCCAAUAAAGUGGUACUGUAUUUCUCAGCUUCACUCAGCAUCUUCUACCUCAACCAGAAUUCAGCUACUAAACACAUCCAGUUAAUCCAUGAAUAAUUGUGAACCUAUGGUAUUUCUCUCUCUGCCGUGUGAACUGAUAAAUGCCGGAUGACAAAGUUGUGAACUAAGCAGCAAAAUGAGGCCAAGAGCCCGAUGGCGUUGUAGCUAUCGCCCCCUUCGGUGUACAGGAACCAGGCAAAACACCACUGUUAAUGUGAGCGACGACGAGCGAAUGGGCAGCGACAUAAUGCACCAUGGCAUGACGAUCAGAUCAGCGAUAUGAUUGUUGCGGUGGACAAUGCCAAGGAUCAGUUCUUUUUGUCGAUUGUUGUGUGGGAUUCUAUGUCAAUCUUUUCUGGAAACUUCUGUUUUCUUGAUUCAAAUUAUUUAAGAAAUUGUGAAUUUUGGUGUCUUUCGUAAGUAAAUGUCAGUGUCAAGGCGUCUUUUGUAUAUUUCAAGUAAUUCUUAGAACGUUGCCAACGAACUUAUUGUUA